UUUACCAGCCCAUAACGGUAACGCACCGUUCUGAUGAUAGAGUUGAGCACCUCUUCAUCACCGCUAUUCGAGGUCGACGCACAAUUUGAGUUCCGAAAGCGUUGAUUUCUUCGCCACAGUCGACAACGAAAUCUAGGGCUCAUCUUAUUCUUUGAUGAUCUUCACCAACAAUGGAGUUUCCGUGCCUCUCAUUCCUCCUCCCGAGAUCACGCUCAUCAUGUUUAUCUGUGCUUAGAUAGAGGAGCAUUACGUGGCUAUGUGAGGAGAUGGAGUUGAGUUGAGGAUGAUAGCUCUUAUAGAUUUAGAUGUUCUACGGUUCGUCAGAUUUUUCAAUCGAUAGAAGGUUUUUGUCUAUUUUGCAAGAUAAUCAUGGGAUUUUUUUUUUUUUUUUAAUUCUCGGUUUGAUAAUUUAAGACGUGACAUAAAAUCUAGAGUAAAUUGGGGUAUUUUUUUAAUUUUACCCAUGUUAAAUUGAUGUUCUUAUCUGUUACCAAAACUGAGUUUCCAUCUCCUUUGCUGCUUAAGUCAUAAUUUUUGUGGGCUACAGGUUUAUAGUUUUUUGUCAAGUGUAAGUGUGGAUGGAUAUUAAGUUUACCCACGGUUUUCCGGUGUAUGAUAGUCAGCUCAAUCGACAAUGAAGACGAAGAGUAUGCAUAUUGAACCGCUGUGAACAUUGGAGGUCACGUGUCAAUGGCAUUCUCUACGACCAAGGUCCAUCAGAUGAUCACCGCUACAGCUCAACCCUGCCGCCAUAGCCGCUGAAUCCUCCCAACACCAUCUUAACCUCUUGGCCUCAGCCUCUUCAGUCGCCACUACAACCGCCGUGACUGCGAGUAAUAUUAAUACUGCAUCAGUUGACCUUUCUUCGGUUUACACUGCAGCAGCGGCUCCGAUCAACUCUUUUAUCAGCCCCGCUACAUCCGUCUUUACAUCUCCUAGGUCUUAAGAUUGGAAUGUUAUAUCUUUAAAACGUUUGUUAAUACUCUUAUAAUUAUCAGAGGACUACGAAGCAGUUCGCAGCUGGAGAGAGCUCAAGAGAGAGAGUGCAUAAUCCCUAAACGGUAACACUUUUGAAAUCCCAGUCUACUUUUCUGAUUUUUGGUUUUAUUGCACAUUGGGAGCUACUAAAGGAAAGUAUUCAUCGAUGUGGGUACUGGAAAAGGAAGUAUUGUAAUGGUUUGUUAACAAUUACCCAACAAGUAAUCUGAAGUUUGAGAUGUACAAGAUUGAAACGGUAACAAUGAGAUGAGCCUCGAACCUGAAAAUAUGGGGAUGAAGGAGUGGCUGAAAGAGAAUGUAAAAGAGGAGGAAUAUGUGGUAAUGAAGACAGAGGUUGCGGUGUUGGAUGAGAUGAUGAGGAGCUAGACGAUAAAAUGGUGGAUAAGCUUUGCUUGGAAUGCAAGCCAAUGGGUACUAGGGCUAGGGGAAGGAACAUGGAGACAGACGUAAGAGAGAAUUUCUAUCAAACCAUGAGUUUUUUUUUUCUUUACAUUAUCUGCUUUUUUUUCUUCCGUUUUGUUGUCAGAAUUGUUUUAAUCAUGUUAUGAUCAUUAUGUAUUGUUGGGGAUCUAAUGAGCUUAAUUAAUUAUGUUAAGUAAUUCCUCGCCGAA